AGAGUUUGAUCAUGGCUCAGGACGAACGCUGGCGGCGUGCUUAACACAUGCAAGUCGAACGGAAAGGCCCUGCUUUUGUGGGGUGCUCGAGUGGCGAACGGGUGAGUAACACGUGAGUAACCUGCCCUUGACUUUGGGAUAACUUCAGGAAACUGGGGCUAAUACCGGAUAGGAGCUCCUGCUGCAUGGUGGGGGUUGGAAAGUUUCGGCGGUUGGGGAUGGACUCGCGGCUUAUCAGCUUGUUGGUGGGGUAGUGGCUUUCCAACGCUUUGCAGGGUAGCCGACGAGUGCGGGUGCCCUGCCCCUUUUUUUCCGGGAUACAGCUCUGACUCCGACUGCGGAUUCCACUGGCCGUCGUUUUCCAGGAAACAGCUAUGUCCAUGAUUCCGGAUCCACCUGGCCGUCGUUGUUCAAUGUAAACAAGAGUAUGACCAUUGAUUACCGGAUU
rnacentral:rRNA from 1 species